AUCAAGGUUGUUUCUCUCUAGACUGUUCCUAAGCUCUUCAUCUUCUCUAAACCUAACAAGGUAUCAGAAAAACAAAGAUCCGAUCAUCUCUUCCUUGUUGCUGCUUACAAAUCACCCUUUUUGUGAAGGUCAGUAAUCAAAUAAAUUUUAUUUUCUCUAUGGAUACCUUAAUCUCCAUCUUUUGUUUACUUUGCCUCAUCAUAUAUAAUUGGAGCAAUCAUCGAUCUCUCAAAUUUACGUUGCAACGGUGUCGUGUGGUUUAUGGGCCAGAACUUGGUUCGUUCCUCUUGCCCGAUGGCCCAAAACCCUCGAUCCUCUCUUAUUCUCUCUCUAAACUUUCAUUGUAAAUUAGAAACCUUCCAAAUUUUGGUUGCAAACCUUGCAAAUUUGAAACUUUCCAAACUUUGCAAAUUUUCAUGGUCCUAUUAUAUCUCUCCUUUGAAACCCUCAUUUUGUCUUCAUCUAUUCUAAAGCUUUGAAUUCUAUCUACUUCAUUUGCAAGCUUAUUGAUAUCAUCCACGGCCUGUUAAUUUGUAUUGAUAUCUUCCAAUUCCUUUGCAAGCAUAUUAACUCGUCUCCAUAAGAAAAAAUAUUUCGGUGCAAAAUUUGUCUGUCUCGUACGCUCUACCUUGCAAAUCUUAACAAUUGCUGCUUGCAAAAUUUGCCUUGUAAUCUCUUUGAACUACACAAUUAAUCAGCUUGCAAGUUUUUAUUUGACGUUUCUUUGUAAUGCUUUGCAAGCUGUUGUGCUCUCCCACAAUAACAGUCUUUCAUUGAACCUAGCAAUUUGCAGCUGUC
rnacentral:lncRNA from 1 species